GACGAACGCUGGCGGCGUGCUUAACACAUGCAAGUCGAACGGAAAGGCCCUGCUUUUGUGGGGUGCUCGAGUGGCGAACGGGUGAGUAACACGUGAGUAACCUGCCCUUGACUUUGGGAUAACUUCAGGAAACUGGGGCUAAUACCGGAUAGGAGCUCCUGCUGCAUGGUGGGGGUUGGAAAGUUUCGGCGGUUGGGGAUGGACUCGCGGCUUAUCAGCUUGUUGGUGGGGUAGUGGCUUACCAAGGCUUUGACGGGUAGCCGGCCUGAGGGGGUGACCGGCCACAGUGGGACUGAGAUACGGCCCAGACUCCUACGGGAGGCAGCAGGGGGAAAUAUUACACAAGGCGCGGAAGCCUGGUGCAGCAACGCCGCGUGCGGGAUGGCGGCCUUCGGGGUGUAACCGCUUUCGCCUGGGACGAAGCGUGAGUGACGGAAAUGGGUAAAGAAGCACCGGCUAACUACGG
rnacentral:rRNA from 1 species